ACAUUUUUGAUUUCUAAUUUUGUUUUGUAACGAAUGAUUAAUAUCUUGCCAUGUAUCUCUACUUUUUACCUUUAUGUGGUUCAUUAUUGUGCUGUGAUGCUUCACAAUUUUGUUGUGUGAAGUCAAAAUAAAUAAUCAAAUAGAAAUUACUAUUUUGAAUUUCUCAUAGAUACUUGAGAGCAGUUGCAUACCGUUGGGUCAUUCGAUGGCUGUGUGGAUGCCUUGGUUGGGAAAAUUCUAGACCAUUACCUGCAAGUAUCUACACAGACAUCCGAAAACGAUUUCCAUUACGAAAUCCCUAGGCCAAGAACAUGCUGGCUACAAGUCAGCACAGGAAAGAAACUGAUAGAAAAUGCACUGGCCAUACCUAUUAUACAUGGUAGCAUGAACAACUUACAUGUGGGAAACAAUGGUGUUGAAGAUAGUUGUUUCCUAUCCAAAUGCCGUUGGAUUGCCUCAGUUUUGGAAAUUCGAUCCGAGAACGUUUUGUUUAAGGCUUCUGGGACUUUUUCCUUAUACUUCUUAAAUAUGUUGUCCAUGGAUUCCUCACAACUAAGAACCAUGACAUUUUUGAUUUCAUUAACAUAGUCUGGAAAAAUGACAAGUGGUUAGAUGUGUAAGUCAAGAGUACCAAUGCAUACAUGCUAAACUUACAAUAUGAUGGUGCUGAAGAAACAGUUCUUACUACUUCAUCCCCUGAUUUAAAUUUUGGGAACAAGUAAAAAAGCCUUGGCAGAUAGAAAACAGUGAUUACAAGUUACCUGCAAUAUGUACCAAGCCAAGAAAAGUGGGUCAUCUUUGGAUGCCAACCAUUUAAUGUUGAAUGAAAACCUUCGAGACA